rnacentral:rRNA from 1 species
ACCCGCUGAACUUAAGCAUAUCAAUAAGCGGAGGAAAAGAAACCAACUGGGAUUGCCCUAGUAACGGCGAGUGAAGCGGCAACAGCUCAAAUUUGAAAUCUGGCUCCCUUUGGGGGUCCGAGUUGUAAUUUGCAGAGGGUGCUUUGGCGUUGGUGGCGGUCUAAGUUCCUUGGAACAGGACAUCGCAGAGGGUGAGAAUCCCGUAUGUGGUCGCCUGCCUUCGCCGUGUAAAGCCCCUUCGACGAGUCGAGUUGUUUGGGAAUGCAGCUCUAAAUGGGAGGUAAAUUUCUUCUAAAGCUAAAUAUCAGCCAGAGACCGAUAGCGCACAAGUAGAGUGAUCGAAAGAUGAAAAGCACUUUGGAAAGAGAGUUAAAAAGUACGUGAAAUUGUUGAAAGGGAAGCGCUUGCGACCAGACUUGACCGCGGAUGCUCAGCCGGCCCUCCGGCCGGUGUACUCUUCCGCGGUCAGGCCAGCAUCAGUUUGGGCGGCCGGAUAAAGGCCCCGGGAAUGUGGCUCCCUUCGGGGAGUGUUAUAGCCCGGGGUGCAAUGCGGCCCGCCCGGACUGAGGACCGCGCUUCGGCUAGGAUGCUGGCGUAAUGGGCUU